GACGAACGCUGGCGGCGCGCUUAACACUUGCAAGUCGAACGGAAAGGCCUGCUUUCCCUUGUGGAUUGCGGGUACUCGAGUGGCGAACGGGUGAGUAACACGUGAGUGAUCUGCCCCCAACUUGGGUAUAAGCCUGGGAAACUGGGUCUAAUUCCCGAUAGGACUGCAGGGUGGUGCCUGUGGUGGAAAACGAUUUUCUAGUGGUUGGGGAUGAGCUCGCGGCCUAUCAGCUUGUUGGUGGGGUAAUGGCCUACCAAGGCGGCGACGGGUAGCCGGCCUGAGAGGGUGGACGGCCACAUUGGGACUGAGAUACGGCCCAGACUCCUACGGGAGGCAGCAGUGGGGAAUAUUGCACAAUGGGCGGAAGCCUGAUGUAGCGACGCCGCGUGGGGGAUGACGGCCUUCGGGUUGUAAACUCCUUUCGACCGCGAGGAAGCCACCUGGUUGGAAGGGUGGUGACGGUAGUGGUAGAAGAAGCACCGGCUAACUACGUG
rnacentral:rRNA from 1 species